GCAUGGUUCAAAAUUGAAAGGCGGCUUCGGCUGUCACUUAUGGAUGGACCCGCGUCGCAUUAGCUAGUUGGUGAGGUAACGGCUCACCAAGGCAACGAUGCGUAGCCGACCUGAGAGGGUGAUCGGCCACACUGGGACUGAGACACGGCCCAGACUCCUACGGGAGGCAGCAGUAGGGAAUCUUCCGCAAUGGACGAAAGUCUGACGGAGCAACGCCGCGUGAGUGAUGAAGGCUUUCGGGUCGUAAAACUCUGUUGUUAGGGAAGAACAAGUGCUAGUUGAAUAAGCUGGCACCUUGACGGUACCUAACCAGAAAGCCACGGCUAACUACGUGCCAGCAGCCGCGGUAAUACGUAGGUGGCAAGCGUUAUCCGGAAUUAUUGGGCGUAAAGCGCGCGCAGGUGGUUUCUUAAGUCUGAUGUGAAAGCCCACGGCUCAACCGUGGAGGGUCAUUGGAAACUGGGAGACUUGAGUGCAGAAGAGGAAAGUGGAAUUCCAUGUGUAGCGGUGAAAUGCGUAGAGAUAUGGAGGAACACCAGUGGCGAAG
rnacentral:rRNA from 1 species